rnacentral:rRNA from 1 species
AUUGAACGCUGGCGGCAUGCUUUACACAUGCAAGUCGGACGGCAGCACAGAGAAGCUUGCUUCUUGGGUGGCGAGUGGCGAACGGGUGAGUAACAUAUCGGAACGUACCGAGCAGUGGGGGAUAACUAAUCGAAAGAUUAGCUAAUACCGCAUAUAUUCUGAGGAAGAAAGCAGGGGACCAUUUGGCCUUGCGCUGUUUGAGCGGCCGAUAUCUGAUUAGCUAGUUGGUGGGGUAAAGGCCUACCAAGGCGACGAUCAGUAGCGGGUCUGAGAGGAUGAUCCGCCACACUGGGACUGAGACACGGCCCAGACUCCUACGGGAGGCAGCAGUGGGGAAUUUUGGACAAUGGGCGCAAGCCUGAUCCAGCCAUGCCGCGUGUCUGAAGAAGGCCUUCGGGUUGUAAAGGACUUUUGUCAGGGAAGAAAAGGGCGGGGUUAAUACCCCUGUCUGAUGACGGUACCUGAAGAAUAAGCACCGGCUAACUACGUGCCAGCAGCCGCAGUAAAAC